GCCAGACUCCUACGGGAGGCAGCAGUGGGGGGUAUUGCACAAUGGGGGGAACCCUGAUGCAGCGACGCCGCGUGGGUGAAGGAGCGUUUCGGCGCGUAAAGCCCUAUCGGCAGGGAAGAAGAUGACGGUACCUGACCAAGAAGCCCCGGCUAACUACGUGCCAGCAGCCGCGGUAAUACGUAGGGGGCAAGCGUUAUCCGGAUUUACUGGGUGUAAAGGGGGCGCAGACGGCAAUGCAAGCCAGGAGUGAAAGCCCGGGGCCCAACCCCGGGACUGCUCUUGGAACUGCAUGGCUGGAGUACAGGAGGGGCAGGCGGAAUUCCUAGUGUAGCGGUGAAAUGCGUAGAUAUCGCGCAGAACCCCGAUUGCGAAGGCAGCGUGCCGUGCCGCCACUGACGCUGAGGCACGAAAGCGCGGGGAUCGAACAGGAUUAGAUACCCGCGUA
rnacentral:rRNA from 1 species